GCCAGGGCCUGGGUGGCGUUGAGACGCUGAGGGAGAAGUUUCUCCCUCACAGGGCGGCCGCGGUGGACGCAGGAGGGCGACAGUGACUGUAGCUCUCAAACGUGAUCUUCCGUUCCGCGGCCUCCCCUCAGCUGGCGGGAGCGGGUCGCUGGCUCGACCAGCGGCGCAGACGGUCCCCCCGAGGCGCGGCGGCGCUACGCGGAUCGGCGUUGGCCCUGUGGCGCCUCGUCGCGAGGGCGGGAAUGCUCUUGCAGCGCGCGCCCGCGGAUCCCAGAUAAAGUUUUAAUUGCAUUAUUUUAUUUUCAAUCAGUGAAAACCAACUUGUAGAGAUUUUGCCGUUCUAAUAAAUAAUGCAUUAAAAUUUCAGAGAGAUGGUUUCAAAUUAAUAUUAUGCUGAUGUCACAUGCCCUGGAAAAUUUUGCAUACAAUUGGAAUUAAGUGUUCCUUGAAGGUUUGGAACAUUCACCUUCGAAGGCAUCUGGAUUUGUCCAUAAUUUGUGGAAACAGUCUGAAGGAGAUGAAAUUACUUGCUGAAGAUAACAUGUUGGUAAAUGACUGUGACAGGCUGUGAAGAAUCCAGAUGUGUCUGCUGCCUGAGUCUGCAGUUGUUCACAGGAGUGUUUGGGUCAAAGUUUCAUCAGGAAACAGAUGGCACAUUCAAAUUGGGUACUUUGGGGACCGUCCCUUGAAAACAUCCCACACAGGAGCCUUGAAUUUACCUCACUUCUACUGACUGUAUGUUGACUCCUCAAAUGACCUUGGCCUUCAGCUGUUGAAGAAUGCAAAUGCUGUUGGCUUCAUUCCUGAACAAUAUGUGGAGCACCCCUCCCCACCUCCAGUUGGAUUUUAUGUAAGUGAGACUUAAACAUCUAUGAUGUUCAGCCACUGAGAUUUGGGUUUUUGAUUGCUAUAGCAGUUAACUGCACAUAUACUCCUCUAUCUCAGAGCAGUUGAAUCAGGUAGUCACACACUGACAAUUCCUUUAAAAGGCAAUUUGCAUUUCUGAGCAUUUGUUUUCAGUGUGUCUGAUCAUUCUCAGUCCCCUGUUCUUUCAGUGUUCAGUAGCUCAGGGCAUCUCAUGUUUUCCCAAAAUACCAAUAAUAACGAGGGAGAAUGACUUCUACCACCAAAAACCUCUGUGAUUUCCUGAAGCUGCCCAUGACUUUUAUUCAAAGUGAUGGUUUGUCUCAGAGUUCAUGCUGGGCUCUCGGAAGCUGCCCCCAAUGAAGAUUAUCCACUCUCCCACUCUAGUUUCUCUGUCCCUCUCCUGAGCCAAAGACUGCUGUGGUUAAUGGGGAUCUGGGUGCAAUGGGGACUUUGGACUCUCGUGGAAGAACUUGGGGAAAGUUGACCUAAGUUCUAUAUGGGUGUCCCUGAUAUCCCCUGGGAUACAGCAAAGAACAAAAUAAUAUGAAAUCCCCCCUUAAAUGGCAUUGCUAUUCUAAUGGGAAAAACAGACAACAUGCAAAUAGAUAAAUAAAAUAAAUACUCUGAAUG